UGAGACGAACGAGCUCCUCCUGAACCUUCAUUUAGAGCCUCAUUUAAAUACAGAAUGAGUUCAUUUGCAUAUUGAUCAGAUGCUUCAGUGCUCUGAGAGUGUUUAUAGUGCUGUGAGUUUAACACUUCAUCACUGACACACACAACAAUCUUCAUCAACAUGACCUUCAUCAUCAUCUUCAUCUGGACUCUCACAGCGUUUGCUCAAGAGUGUAGAGGACAGAUCACCGUCACUCAGAGUCCCUCAAUGACAGCAGCUCAACCAGGACAAACUGUGAACAUCAACUGUAAAACCAGCAGUAGAGUGUAUGGUGGUGAUCGUUUAGCCUGGUACUUACAGAAACCUGGAGAAGCUCCUAAACUCCUGAUUUAUUAUGCAAGCACCCUCCAGUCAGGAACUCCAUCUAGAUUCAGUGGCAGUGGAUCUAACAGUGAUUUCACUCUGACCAUCAGUGGAGUCCAGACUGAAGAUGCUGGACAUUAUUACUGUCAGAGUUACCAUGAAAUCAGCAGUAAAGAUGUGUUCACACAGUGAUAAAGAGUCGUACAAAAACCUCCGUCAGUCAGAGUCACAGUGACUGAACUGAUACUGCAGCUGCUCAAAGGAGGAUCUGAAACAACAUCGUCACACAAACAUCUGAAAUAAAAUCAUCUAAAUUAAUCUGCCACUCUUAAUAAUUAUAGAGGUCAGAAAGAGAUUUUGUGCUCUUAUAGAUCAGU